UGGGGUAUAGCUCAGUGGUGAAGCACUUGCUCAGCACGCAAAAGGUCCUGGGUUCGAUCCCCAGCACUGCAA
rnacentral:tRNA from 1 species